GCCGAAGUGGCGGAAUUGGUAGACGCGCUAGAUUCAGGGUCUAGUGGGAAGUAGUUCCUGUAGGGGUUCGAGUCCCCUCUUCGGCACCA
rnacentral:tRNA from 1 species